GCGCACCAGUCGAGAAAACCUCCGCAAUGCGGGAAACCGCGACGGGGUCAGCCGGAGUGCUCGCGCAUCGCGCGGGCUGUCGGGGUGCCUAAAAGCACCCAUAGCAAGGGCCGGGCAAGGCCGGUGGCAGCCGCCGCGGUAAUACCGGCGGCCCGAGUGGCGGCCACUUUUAUUGGGCCUAAAGCGUCCGUAGCCGGGCUGGUAAGUCCUCCGGGAAAUCUGGUCGCUUAACGAUCAGACUUCCGGAGGAUACUGCCAGCCUAGGGACCGGGAGAGGCCGGGGGUAUUCCCGGGGUAGGGGUGAAAUCCUGUAAUCCCGGGAGGACCACCUGUGGCGAAGGCGCCCGGCUGGAACGGGUCCGACGGUGAGGGACGAAGGCCAGGGGAGCGAACCGGAUUAGAUACCCCUAUAGU
rnacentral:rRNA from 1 species